UAGGGGUGAAAGGCCAAUCAAACUCCGUGAUAGCUGGUUCUCCCCGAAAUGCAUUUAGGUGCAGCGUCGCGUGUUUCACACUGGAGGUAGAGCUACUGGAUGGCCUAGGGGGCCCACAAGCUUACCGAAGUCAGCCAAACUCCGAAUGCCGGUGUGUGAGAGCGUGGCAGUGAGACUGCGGGGGAUAAGCUUCGUAGUCGAGAGGGAAACAGCCCAGAUCGCCGGCUAAGGCCCCUAAGCGUGUACUAAGUGGAAAAGGAUGUGGGGUCGCUGAGACAACCAGGAGGUUGGCUUAGAAGCAGCCACCCUUGAAAGAGUGCGUAAUAGCUCACUGGUCAAGUGAUCCUGCGCCGAUAAUGUAGCGGGGCUCAAGUACACCGCCGAAGCCGCGGCACUCAGACAUUUACAUCCCCAGCAAUGGGCAGUGGUCUGGGUGGGUAGGGGAGCGUCGUGUAGCCAGGGAAGCAGCGGGGUGACCUAGUUGUGGAGGCUGCGCGAGUGAGAAUGCAGGCAUGAGUAGCGAAAGACGAGUGAGAAACUCGUCCGCCGAAUGACCAAGGGUUCCUGGGCCAGGUUAAUCCGCCCAGGGUGAGUCGGGACCUAAGGCGAGGCCGACAGGCGUAGUCGAUGGACAACGGGUUGAUAUUCCCGUACCCGUGUAUCCGCGCCCAAUGGCGAAUCAGUUGUGCUAACCGUCCAAAAGCGGACCUAUCACCUUCGGGUGAAGAGAAGUGGCUGCACGGGACCCUGGCUGUAGUAGUCAAGCGAUGGGGUGACGCAGGAAGGUAGCUGGGCCCGGUGGUGGAUUACCGGGUGUAAGCCUGUAGGGCGUUGUGUAGGCAAAUCCGCACAACAUGUGCCUGAGAGGUGAUGCGUAGCCGGUUGAGGUGAAUUCAGUGAUCCUAUGCUGCCGAGAAAAGCCUCUAGUGAGUUGGUACACGGCCCGUACCCCAAACCGACACAGGUGGUCAGGUAGAGAAUACUGAGGCGAUCGAGAUAACUGUGGUGAAGGAACUCGGCAAAAUACCUCCGUAACUUCGGGAGAAGGAGGGCCUGAUCUGGUGAUGAGUCUUGCACUCGGAGCUGGGUUGGGUCGCAGAGACCAGAGAGAAGCGACUGUUUACUAAAAACACAGGUCCGUGCGAAGUCGUAAGACGAUGUAUACGGACUGACGCCUGCCCGGUGCCGGAAGGUUAAGAGGACCGGUUAGCGUUUCGGCGCGAAGCUGAGAAUUUAAGCCCCGGUAAACGGCGGUGGUAACUAUAACCAUCCUAAGGUAGCGAAAUUCCUUGUCGGGUAAGUUCCGACCUGCACGAAUGGCGUAACGACUUCUCUGCUGUCUCCACCACAGACUCGGCGAAAUUGCAUUACGAGUAAAGAUGCUCGUUACGCGCGGCAGGACGAAAAGACCCCGGGACCUUCACUAUAGCUUGGUAUUGGUGUUCGGUACGGUUUGUGUAGGAUAGGUGGGAGACUGUGAAGCGGGCACGCCAGUGUUCGUGGAGUCGUCGUUGAAAUACCACUCUGGUCGUAUUGGACCUCUAACCUCGGGCCAUGAUCUGGUUCAGGGACAGUGCCUGGUGGGUAGUUUAACUGGGGCGGUUGCCUCCCAAAAUGUAACGGAGGCGCCCAAAGGUUCCCUCAGCCUGGUUGGCAAUCAGGUGUUGAGUGUAAGUGCACAAGGGAGCUUGACUGUGAGACUGACAGGUCGAGCAGGGACGAAAGUCGGGACUAGUGAUCCGGCACCGGCAUGUGGAAGCGGUGUCGCUCAACGGAUAAAAGGUACCCCGGGGAUAACAGGCUGAUCUUCCCCAAGAGUCCAUAUCGACGGGAUGGUUUGGCACCUCGAUGUCGGCUCGUCGCAUCCUGGGGCUGGAGUAGGUCCCAAGGGUUGGGCUGUUCGCCCAUUAAAGCGGCACGCGAGCUGGGUUUAGAACGUCGUGAGACAGUUCGGUCUCUAUCCGCCGCGCGCGUUAGAAACUUGAGGAAGGCUGUCCCUAGUACGAGAGGACCGGGACGGACGAACCUCUGGUGUGCCAGUUGUCCCGCCAGGGGCACGGCUGGUUGGCCACGUUCGGAAGGGAUAACCGCUGAAAGCAUCUAAGCGGGAAGCCUGUUCCAAGAUGAGGUUUCUCACCCCCUCGAGGGGGUAAGGCCCCCAACAGACCAUUGGGUUGAUAGGCCAGAACUGGAAGUGCGGUAACGCAUGGAGGUGACUGGUACUAAUAGGCCGAGGGCUUACCAAC
rnacentral:rRNA from 1 species